GACGAACGCUGGCGGCGUGCCUAAUACAUGCCAGUCGAGCGGACGAAUCGAAAGCUUGCUUUUGAUUCGUUAGCGGCGGACGGGUGAGUAACACGUGGGCAACCUGCCCUGUAGACGGGGAUAACACCGAGAAAUCGGUGCUAAUACCGGAUAACACGAAAUGUCGCAUGACGUUUCGUUGAAAGACGGCGCAAGCUGUCGCUACAGGAUGGGCCCGCGGCGCAUUAGCUAGUUGGUGAGGUAACGGCUCACCAAGGCGACGAUGCGUAGCCGACCUGAGAGGGCGAUCGGCCACACUGGGACUGAGACACGGCCCAGACUCCUACGGGAGGCAGCAGUAGGGAAUCUUCCGCAAUGGACGAAAGUCUGACGGAGCAACGCCGCGUGAGCGAAGAAGGCCUUCGGGUCGUAAAGCUCUGUUGUUAGGGAAGAACAAGUAACGCAGUAACUGGCGUUACCGUGACGGUACCUAACGAGAAAGCCACGGCUAACUACGUG
rnacentral:rRNA from 1 species